rnacentral:rRNA from 1 species
AGGACGAACGCUGGCGGCGUGCUUAACACAUGCAAGUCGAGCGGUAAGGCCCUUUCGGGGGUACACGAGCGGCGAACGGGUGAGUAACACGUGAGCAAUCUGCCCUUCACUUCGGGAUAAGCCUCGGAAACGGGGUCUAAUACCGGAUAUGACUGCGCCAUGCAUGUGGUGUGGUGGAAAGUUCUGGCGGUGAGGGAUGAGCUCGCGGCCUAUCAGCUUGUGUGGGGUAAUGGCCUACCAAGGCUUCGACGGGUAGCCGGCCUGAGAGGGUGACCGGCCACACUGGG